AUGGAUGGAUGUGUUUGGGAAGGCGAGGAGGCACCGAACCGAGCGGCGGGCAAGGAUGAAGUGAAGCUGAGCGCACCAUCGUCAUAUCCCUUCUCCGCCUACUGUUACUGGAAGCAAGCACAGUACCAUCUCAUCUCAUCCAAGCUAUUUUUGGCUUACAUGAAGGGAUGCAUGCUCUUCAUCUUGCAGAAGGAGGGGACUCGGCCUUCUUCACGGCUCGCGGCAGUGUCUCCCAUUGAUUCGUUCGUGCAACAAGGAGGGGACCCGCCCUUCUUCAUGUCUCAUGCAACAAGUAAGGACCAGCCCUCUGGCUAUUACUAUUGA
rnacentral:rRNA from 1 species